UGAAUACUUUUUGGGGCAUUAGCCUCAAGAUAAUUUGUUUGAUAUGCGAUUUAAAGGUUGAAACUUAUUCAAGGUUAUGUUUAUUUUAGACGCAAAUUAUUUGGGGCAUUGGCCGGACAUCCAUAUGACCAUGCUGGAAACCAAACCAAGCCCAAAACCUUUAGCACGGCAUACAACCCGCUAUCUACCUGCAUAUACAGUAUUGUGGAUCAUCAAUCAAGCAUGUUCGGUUCGUCUUUCGGUGUGCUCUGGUUCGACUCGAUCGCAUCGCAUCGAACAUUGCUGUGAAUACAGGCGGUAUUGCCAUCAGCUGAGCUGCAUUUAAAUUGCGGUACUUUGGUUUUAGGUCUUGUAUACUCUACAGUGACAUAUGUACAUUUAAAUGUAGACGUAAUACAUUUAAGAAAUUGUGUACCCAGUGUGCCUACUACCAGAGAAAUUCCCCAUUGUGUACUGUCGAAGUUUUUCUGUUCAGCUAUUGGGGCGUCCGGCUGUCGUAUCUAUUAUGUAUUUAUGUAAAUAAAGAAAGAUGUAUGCACGUA